GAUGAACGCUGGCGGCGUGCCUAAUACAUGCAAGUCGAGCGAACAGACGAGGAGCUUGCUUCUCUGACGUUAGCGGCGGACGGGUGAGUAACACGUGGAUAACCUACCUAUAAGACUGGGAUAACUUCGGGAAACCGGAGCUAAUACCGGAUAAUAUUUUGAACCGCAUGGUUCAAUAGUGAAAGACGGUUUUGCUGUCACUUAUAGAUGGAUCCGCGCUGCAUUAGCUAGUUGGUAAGGUAACGGCUUACCAAGGCAACGAUGCAUAGCCGACCUGAGAGGGUGAUCGGCCACACUGGAACUGAGACACGGUCCAGACUCCUACGGGAGGCAGCAGUAGGGAAUCUUCCGCAAUGGGCGAAAGCCUGACGGAGCAACGCCGCGUGAGUGAUGAAGGUCUUCGGAUCGUAAAACUCUGUUAUUAGGGAAGAACAAAUGUGUAAGUAACUGUGCACGUCUUGACGGUACCUAAUCAGAAAGCCACGGCUAACUACGUG
rnacentral:rRNA from 1 species